AUGUUGAGGCAUUAUAGGGCCCUGCAUGAAAAUAAGGAGACAACUCAAACAGAACCACCCCCAGUGAAUAAGAAUGCAGUGGAAGAGGCAUUAAUCAAUAUGGUGAUUGAAGAUUGCCAGCCCUUCAGUUUUGUGGAGGACACAGGGUUCAGGAAGCUUAUCCAAGCUUUCGACCCUACAUAUGUUCUCCCCACCAGGCGGACUUUGAAAGCCAUGGU